CCUACGGGUGGCAGCAGUGAGGAAUAUUGGUCAAUGGGCGGGAGCCUGAACCAGCCAAGCCGCGUGAGGGAAGAAGGUACAGCGUAUCGUAAACCUCUUUUGUCAGGGAACAAAGGCGGGGACUAGUCCCCGGAUGAGGGUACCUGAAGAAAAAGCAUCGGCUAACUCCGUGCCAGCAGCCGCGGUAAUACGGAGGAUGCGAGCGUUAUCCGGAUUUAUUGGGUUUAAAGGGUGCGUAGGCGGGACCUUAAGUCAGCGGUAAAAUUGCGGUGCUCAACGCCGUAGAGCCGUUGAAACUGGGGUUCUUGAGUGAGCGAGAAGUAUGCGGAAUGCGUGGUGUAGCGGUGAAAUGCAUAGAUAUCACGCAGAACCCCGAUUGCGAAGGCAGCAUACCGGCGCUCAACUGACGCUGAGGCACGAAAGUGCGGGUAUCGAACAGGAUUAGAUACCCGGGUAGUC
rnacentral:rRNA from 1 species